UACGUAGGGUGCGAGCGUUGUCCGGAAUUAUUGGGCGUAAAGGGCUCGUAGGCGGUCUGUUGCGUCGGGAGUGAAAACUCAGGGCUUAACCCUGAGCCUGCUUCCGAUACAGGCAGACUAGAGGUAUGCAGGGGAGAACGGAAUUCCUGGUGUAGCGGUGAAAUGCGCAGAUAUCAGGAGGAACACCGGUGGCGAAGGCGGUUCUCUGGGCAUUACCUGACGCUGAGGAGCGAAAGUGUGGGGAGCGAACAGG
rnacentral:rRNA from 1 species